GAAUUCCAAUACUGAUCAUGAAUUCUUAGUCUCUUACUCAAUUUUGUAAAAUGCUGCUAACCUGUUGCAUAUGGCACAUGCAAUCCUCACAAAAUCACCGAUGUAAGGUAUUUGACUUGAUGGUAGGAUGUGCCCUAAAUACCGCCAUUGUUUAAUCCUAGCAUUUGCUGACUCCACAACCCAUCGAAUCUGUAAUGUAGGCAUUUUGGCACAAAUUCCCAUCUCUUGGAGGUAAUCCAAAGAAUCCCUAAAUCCACGGUCAACCACAAAGAUAUCAUUCUCGUUGACCCAGCUCCGUAUGUCCUCGAUAUUGCUGCGCAUUAUAUGGUUCAAAAUGGUAGCGUCAUUGUUGCGAGCUAAGUAGGGGCCCAAAACAGAAAUGAAGUAGCCUGUCGUCGAUACAAUAAUCAUUGGCUUCACAAGUGGUCUCCCUUUGUGAAGGCUAAAAGACUGUCGUUGAAACUUAAAAUUUCCGCUUUUAUUGAUAUAAAUGUAAGUUCCAUCAAGGACAAGUAUUGCCUGUUGGGACAAUGCAUCACCAAAUAUGGAUUGGGCUAAAGGUCAAGUGUGUUCUUGAAUUAUCUUCUCUCUUGUCACAUGGCCAAAACCAAGAUUCCCAGUGACAAAUCCACCAUUCAUUAAUGCUGUGCGAAUUGUCUUCACUGCUCUGUAAAUGCUGGAUUUGGAUAUCCUAAACAAUGUUGAGAGGAUACAGUUGGAUUUUCCACCUCUGAGCUUCAUCAGGAAAAUGGCCAAACUCGUUUUGACAGUUCUCACUGGAGUUACCUUGACUUUUCCCUCAACAUAUGUCAGCAAGUCCUCAAACGCAGCUUUAGGGAUUCCUAGGAGAUUCUGAUGCUUUGGACAGCAGCGAGCCCCGGCAGGAAUGAUAACCUCUUUAGAAAUGAAGAUUUGAUGUCUUACUCCUAAGGGUACUACAACUAGCUUUGGACCUGGUCGCUUACAGAUACAGCAUGAAGCGUGCCCUCUUG